CCGUGUUGACUGUCACCUCCUCCCUGGGGCUGUAGUAAUUCGGGGCGGUCGCGGCGGCCGGAGCCGGGUCCCCGCGGAGAUGAGCGCCCCGGGCGUGCAGUCUUUCGCCCAGCAGGCCUGGGAGCAGGUGCUGGCCAAGGCGAAGAGGGCCGUGGUCUACCUGGACGCCGCCUGCGCCGAGAGCCUGCACUGGAGCUGCGGCCCGGAGCGGCUGCUGGCCGCCGUGGGGGGGCCUGCGCGGGACGUGCGGGAGUUCGGCCCGCGGGCGGCCGGGGGCGGGCCCGGGCAGCCCAAGGCCUUGUUCGUGCUGAGCGGCCUGCUCAAGGGCCGGGCCGUGGAGACCCUGCGCGCCCUGGUGGGGCGCAGCCGCUUCCAGUACUGCGUGGUGGUCACCGCCGUGGGCCACCCCGCGCACCUGACCGCCAGCCACCUGCCGGCCGGCGCCGUGGCCGAGCUGGAGGGGCGGCAGCCCGUGUUCGAGCAGCUGGAGGAGAAGCUCUGCGAGUGGAUGGGCAACAUGAACUACACGGCCGAGGUGCUGCACGUGCCCCUGCUGCUGGCCCCCCUCGCGCCGCACCUGGCCGUGACCCCGGCCUUCGCCUCGCUCUUUCCGCCCCUGCCGCGGGACCUGAGGCUCCCCCACGGCGCCCGGCCGGACAGGAGGAAGCCCGCCAGCCUGGCCGAGCUGGACGCCGCCAGCCUGAGCCCCGAGCUGCAGCUGCAGCUCCGGUGCCUGGUGUCGGGCCUCAGCGCCUUCUGCGAGCACCUCGGCGUCCGCGAGGACUGCUUCUCCGUGGGCGGCCUCAGCCGCGUGCUGGCCGCCGACCUGGCCGCCUACGCCCCGGCCAAGAGCCGCCGCAAGGCGGCCGCGGCCCGGGCCUCGCUGCUCUUCGUGGACCGGACGCUGGAUCUCACAGGAGCUGUUGGACACCAUGGAGACAAUUUAGUAGAGAAGAUAAUUUCAUUUCUUCCCAAACUUCCAGGCCACACAAAUGAUGUGAUGGUUAAUAUGGUAGAACUCACUGCGUUCCAGACAAAGGAAGAGAAUUAUACACUCGUAGCACCUGGCUGCUUAGCCCAAUCCAAUGACACAGCAGCAAGAGCCCUCUGGGAGUCUUUACUGAGCACCAAGCACAAAGAAGCUCUGAUGGAAGUUAGGAGACACCUGGUGGAAGCAGCGAGCAGGGAGAGCCUGCCCAUCAAAAUGAGCAUGGGACGAGUUACUUCUGGGCAGCUUGCCUCUUACAUCCAGCUUUUCAAGAAAAACUUCAAAGCCUUGGAAAGUCACUGUGGUCUCCUGCAACUUGGACUGGCUGCAGUCCAGACUUUAAAACAUCCCCUGUCUGCCAAGUGGGACAACUUUCUGGCUUUUGAAAGACUCCUUCUCCAGAGUAUUGGGGAAUCAUCGAUGUCCAAUGUACUCAAUCAGUUGCUGCCCAUGAUUAAAUCUUUUAGCCAGAGGACCAGUGAUGACUACAGCCCAGAAGACCUUUUGGUCUUGCUAGUGUACAUUUAUUCAGUUGUUGGAGAAAUCCCAAUUGACAAAGACCUGGACACAGCUGAAGAAAUGGUGAAGAUGGCACUCACUGUGGCCCUUUCUGAAGAACCCGAGCUGCCUCCUUUGCUGCAGAAAAUUUUAGAAUGUGAAUCUGCAAUUAACCUGACAUUUCAGAAGGCCAGAAUAGCUGUGGAUGAGCUCUUUGAGUCACUUCACGAUAUCACCACAGCCCGAAGUUUCAUGAAACAGUUUAAAUCUGUGUAUGUUCCUGGAAGUCACACCCACCAGGCAACCUAUAAGCCAUUGCUGAAGCAGAUUGUGGAGGAGAUAGUUAAUCCAGAGCGACCAGAUUCUGGCGAUAUUGAGCACGUGUCUUCGGGCCUCAGUGACCUGCUUAAAACGGGAUUUAGCAUGUUCAUGAAGGUGAGCCGCCCUCAUCCCGGUGACCAUCCGCUCCUGAUCCUCUUUGUGGUUGGUGGGGUGACAAUCUCGGAGGCCAAGAUGGUUAAAGACCUUGUUUCUUCCCUGAAACCUGGAACACAGCAGUAGAGUUGCUAUCUACUAAGUGUCCGAGUUCUGAGGGAUGAUGGGGAGUGAUGAGCACAGAUUCGGAGAGUCUGAGUUCAGAUGGAGGAUGGGGAGUAACGAGCACAGAUUCUGAGAUGAAGCACAAGGUAAUUGUGCUGUCCACGCGACUCCUGAACCCACUUAACAUUCCGGAGCUGUUAUUUGCAACGGAUCGACUUCAUCCAGACAUUGGCAUCUGAGCCAGCUCCAUCUGCUAAGAAGAUAAGACUUAGCCGGUCUGGAAAGACCUGCUCUAUUGUCUGUCACCAGUUGAGAUACGCUUCCCAAACUGAGCUGCCCUGUUACUAAUUGUAGGAAUAAUUGAAUCUUGCCUGAAGGCCCUGGAUAAUGGGGGGAGGGGGGAAAGAGGGGAGAUAAUUUGUUGUUGAGAUUUUACUGGUUUAAAAAUUUUGUUGUUGAGAAUUGUACUGGUUUAAAAAUUUUGUUGUUGAGAUUUUACUGGUUU